UACGUAGGGUGCGAGCGUUAAUCGGAAUUACUGGGCGUAAAGCGUGCGCAGGCGGUUCGUUGUGUCGGUGGUGAAAGCCCCGGGCUCAACCUGGGAAUUGCGAUGGAGACUGCAAGGCUUGAAUCUGGCAGAGGGGGGUAGAAUUCCACGUGUAGCAGUGAAAUGCGUAGAGAUGUGGAGGAACACCGAUGGCGAAGGCAGCCCCCUGGGUCAAGAUUGACGCUCAUGCACGAAAGCGUGGGGAGCAAACAGG
rnacentral:rRNA from 1 species